UGGAGGCUCAUUGAAUAGGAGAAUUAAUGUCGACUUAAACUGACAAAAUUGGCUUCAGGAAAGAAACACCUGAGGAGUGGCAAAUUUUUCAGGCCACACAUUACCUGGAGCUAAGAGCACAGAUGACCUGGUCACAGAUCAUCCCCACUGAUACUGCACUGACUACAUGGGAUGUGCCAUAAUGGCCCAGGGAUGGAAAUGUGCUUUGAUUCAACUCCCCUUUGUGUUUCUUUCUUCAAAAGUUACAAAAUGCCUGAAAACUCUUAUCCCUCCAACUGUGCCUUUGAUCCUAAUCCUUGCCUCUCCAAUUUUUCCUAUUUUCCUUUUUUUGCUCUGUCCAUUUUUCUCCUGAUGAAAUGCACUGAGAUUGCUGCCUUUUUGCUAAGGACUAUUAUGUAAAUGUAGGUUUUGUAAUUAUUAAGGUCUGGUUGAAAUUUAAGUUAUGUAUAUGCAGUACCUAAGCAAGCAUGGUAUUUUUCUGGCUCAUCACAAUACAUGCCAUCUCAGCUAUUCCUUCUGAUAACACCCGUUUAACAAAUAUACAUGUAUGAUGCUUGAUUUGAUGAUUGUGAGUAUUUUUGAGAUUUUUGAUUCUGAAGUUAUGUAUGUCUUGUAUUUUACAGAAAGAGCAUCUUUGUCUAUAUAAUAAUCUUGUGGACUCCUACAGUUUUCAAAAGAAUUGUCUUAAUGGCAGUGUUCAUUCUCUUAGUAUUAACAGUUCUCAAAUUAUGUAUUGAAAGAGAUCAUAAUGGUAUAUCUGGAAUUGUUUUAAGUUUUUAAAAUUUCAGCUGUGGAUUAAUUUAUUUUUCUAGUAAUUGUAUAAACUUAAUAUUGUAUCAGUAUAACACAAUAUUGUUCAAUUUGUGAUAUUGUAAAGGUUCUUUGCUAGGCUUCUGUGCAAAUCUCUUUUUAUUGUUUUUCAUUCACUGGGCUCGGUUUUAAGAUAGCAGUUUGUGGUCUUGUGAAUAGUUAUUGUGGUUGUAUAAAUCCAAUUAAGGAUGUUCCUUGUUUUUUGAUUUGAACAGAAGUUUUUGAUCAAUAUCUGGCUUUAUGGUGUUCUCCUUUAUUGUCUGUUGCACUUGCAACUUGGAUAACAAAACCUUUAAAAAAAAAAGUACCAUGAUGUUGAGUUCCAUUCUCGUGAAGAUGCAGUAUUUGAACUCUGGAUUUCAUUUCAAGGAAGUAAUUAUGUAGAAACAUAUCCAACUCUUGUGAAAUCUGCUUGAAAUGUAACUUGUAAAACAGUGUUGUGUGAUGUAUGUUCUGUGAAAAUACAUGAAUUAUACUAAUCUACUGA